AUUGCCUUAGUAACGGCGAGUGAAGCGGCAAAAGCUCAAAUUUGAAAUCUGGCACCUUCGGUGUCCGAGUUGUAAUUUGAAGAAGGUAACUUUGGAGUUGGCUCUUGUCUAUGUUCCUCGGAACAGGACGUCACAGAGGGUGAGAAUCCCGUGCGAUGAGAUGCCCAAUUCUAUGUAAAGUGCUUUCGAAGAGUCGAGUUGUUUGGGAAUGCAGCUCUAAGUGGGUGGUAAAUUCCAUCUAAAGCUAAAUAUUGGCGAGAGACCGAUAGCGAACAAGUACAGUGAUGGAAAGAUGAAAAGAACUUUGAAAAGAGAGUGAAAAAGUACGUGAAAUUGUUGAAAGGGAAGGGCUUGAGAUCAGACUUGGUAUUUUGCGAUCCUUUCCUUCUUGGUUGGGUUCCUCGCAGCUUACUGGGCCAGCAUCGGUUUGGAUGGUAGGAUAAUGACUAAGGAAUGUGGCUCUACUUCGGUGGAGUGUUAUAGCCUUGGUUGAUACUGCCUGUCUAGACCGAGGACUGCGUCUUUUGACUAGGAUGUUGGCAUAAUGAUCUUAAGCCACCCGUCUUGAAACACGGACCAA
rnacentral:rRNA from 1 species